rnacentral:rRNA from 1 species
UACGUAGGCAGCAAGCGUUGUUCGGAAUUACUGGGCGUAAAGAGUGUGUAGGCGGCGCGCUAAGUCCCGUGUGAAAUCUCCCGGCUCAACCGGGAGGGGGCGCGGGAAACUGGCGGGCUCGAGCGUGGGCGAGGAAAGCGGAAUUCCUGGUGUAGCGGUGAAAUGCGUAGAGAUCAGGAGGAACACCAGCGGUGUAGACGGCUUUCUGGACCAUGGCUGACGCUGAGACACGAAAGCGUGGGUAGCAAACAGG